CCCCCCAAUGAUAAAAAAUUAUAUUCCAAGAAGUUAAAAGAAAAAAAUAUUCUCUGUUAAAGUAUUAGGUAUAUCAGAAACUGUUUUAUUUCUCUGGAUCAAAAUCCUUAUUGGAAAUGUGUGAUCUUGAGGACUCCUUAAAAACAUAACAUUCCAAAAAGAGAAGACACAAAGUUCAUAAAGAAGUUUAAAGAAUAAAAUAGUGUGUAUGUAACGGUAGAUUAGAAAUUGUUGUAUUUAUUAUUCAGAAAUAAUCUUCAAAAUUAUUAUAAAUUAAUAUUAAAAAAAAACAUGAGCAUUCUUAAUAAUGUAUUAGCAUAAAGUAACACAUAAAAUAAACAAUAGACAUCUAUUUUGCUAAAUACAACAGGCUUCCACUAUUUUACAAAUAAUACACUAACAUUGGAAGUAAUUACAUGAAUACUUUACUAGGAGAUAAUAUAUCACUCUAAUAUCAGUCGAAAUUUGCAGAUUCUUGGUCUGUGGGCCCAUGUCAAGUUGUUUUAGGAAAACAUUGCAUUUUUUUCGUAUUGUAGUAAAACAAAGUGUCAAUU